rnacentral:rRNA from 1 species
UUGGUCAUUUAGAGGAAGUAAAAGUCGUAACAAGGUCUCCGUUGGUGAACCAGCGGAGGGAUCAUUACUGAGUUAUCAAAACUCCAAACCCUUUGUGAACCUUACCGUCGUUGCCUCGGCGUGAGCUACGGCUACCCUGUAACUACCCUGGAGCUACCCUAGAGUUACCCUAUAGCUACCCUGCACUUACCCUGCAGCUACCCUAUAGCUACCCUAGAGCUACCCUGGAGCUACCCUGUAGUCGGCUUCGGCCCGCCGAAGGACCGUUAAACUCUUGUUUUUACCACUGUUUCUCUGAAUUUUAAACCAAAAUAAGUUAAAACUUUCAACAACGGAUCUCUUGGUUCUGGCAUCGAUGAAGAACGCAGCGAAAUGCGAUAAGUAAUGUGAAUUGCAGAAUUCAGUGAAUCAUCGAAUCUUUGAACGCACAUUGCGCCCAUUAGUAUUCUAGUGGGCAUGCCUAUUCGAGCGUCAUUUCGACCCCUAAGCCCCUGUUGCUUAGCGUUGGGAAUCUACGGCGUAGUUCCUCAAAGUUAGUGGCGGAGUUAGGGUACACUCUCAGCGUAGUAAUUUCUCUCGCUCGUGUGGUGGCCCUGGCUGCUAGCCGUUAAAACCCCUAUAUUUUCUAGUGGUUGACCUCGGAUUAGGUAGGAAUACCCGCUGAACUUAAGCAUAUCAAUAA